UAAAGGUUUGGUCCUGGCCUUAGUAUCAACUGUUUCCCAACUUACACAUGCAAGUCUCAGCACACCCGUGAGAACGCCCUUUUAACCUUCCCCAGGCAAAGGAGCUGGUAUCAGGCACAGAUCCUUGCCCACAACACCUAGUCUCACCACACCCCCAAGGGUACUCAGCAGUGAUUAACUUUGCGCAUAAGCGACAGCUUGACUCAGUCAGGGAAAAUUAGGGCCGGCUAACACGGUGCCAGCCGCCGCGGCUACACCAUGGACUCAAGUUGAUACUCAUCGGCGUUAAGCGUGAUUAAAGUUCUCAUAAAGUUAGGGUUAAAUUAACACUUAGUAGUUUUAUGCUUGUUGUUAAGAAACACACAAACGAAAGUUACCCUAUGCCACCUUGAAUACACGACAGCUAGG
rnacentral:rRNA from 1 species